rnacentral:lncRNA from 1 species
GUUUGCUCCUGAUCGACGUCAGAGCCGGCUCGGAGCGCUAAAAAUCUCAUUUCUUCCCCUCUGUUUUGGAAGGUUUGGAUGCAAACUGAGAAAAAUUGAGGCUGGAAUUUGUAACUGGGAUGGCAGCAAUAAUGUCACACACGUCCUGCCCCGUGCUGAAGGUGCUGCUGGGACAUCUGGGGCUCACCAGGGCAAUCCAGGAUAAAUCCCACCAUCCCCACCUGGAACGAUUGUGGACGUUUUUUGAUCAGAAAACGGAUAAAAGCUGCAGGAAGAACUUUGAGGAGGUCUCUGGGGUACAACCAACUGCUCAAGUGCCUGAGAUAUUCCAAAUUUUCCUUUCUGGGACCAGCUGAGAAGCAGCAGGUGCUCAACUGGUCAAAAAAAGCCAUUUCCUGAGAUAAGAAAUGUAAACCAAGUGCCAGUGGUGGAGAUUUAAUUGCUGCAAAUCUGUUGAGUGGAAGCUGAGCUUUCUGUUCUCCAAAAUAAUCACGUCCAGCUCCCAGCCAGCACAGCUGUGCUUCAGAUGCCUUCAAGUCUGUAGUAAAUUUGUUGUGGAUAUUAAUUAAAAGGUUAAUUAUGGUGGAGAUGUUCUGGUACUCAGGUUUGCUGAUGCUGGUGUGGAG